GGGUUGUUGCCGGAAGUGCCCGGUCCCGCUUCAUGGCGGCCGCACCUCGCCCGCGCGACUGGGUGUCCCCUCGUCCUGUCCCGCCGCGGCCGUGACAGCCCCGCGCAGCCCCGGCCGCAGGGCGGCGGCUGGGGCUGGGACAGGGGCAUGGCCGAGCCCGGCAUCGCGGUGCGGAGGAAGAGCCGCCCCAGCUCGGAGCGCAAGAGGAGCCACGUCCCGGUGCAGCCCAGCGCCGCCAGCUCGCCGGUGGCUCCCAAGAGACCGAGCUCUGGUGGCGAGGGGCCACCGCCGGCGGAGCCCCCGUGCUGUAACGACAGUGAGGAAGACAUGUUUGGUGACUAUGACAGCUUCUGUGGAAAUGAUUCUUUGCUAGCUCAAGUGGAUGACAUCGAACACAAGUACCUGCAGGAUAAAAACAUAGAUGUGAAAGCAGCUAGAGAAAUCACAGUUGGGAAUCUUCAGUCAGGAAUUCACCAGAAAAAACAAGACAACUUCUCUGCUUCAGAAAAAGCAUCUGUCCUUAAAGCUGACAAAGAGGGUGCUUACCAAGUGCAGGACAGAGACCUGGUGGAUGGCAGUAGAGAACCACCUGAAUCUCUUUUAGACGACUUGCCAUCAUCACAACUUUUGUAUUUUGAGAAAAUGGAUGAACUUUCUUCUGCUUUUAGGACAUCGCCAGACUCAAAAGAGAGGAGUGAAUGUGUGAAUUCUUCCUCGAACAAAAUCAGGAGCCCAUUGUCUUAUUGUGCUGAUGCUGAACACAGGAACAGACCUAUGGACUUUUCCUCAGACUCCAAGUGUGUUUUAUUGAAAACUGAGAGUCUUAAAGAUCACCUAAAAAGUGCUAUGACUGGGAAUGCCAAAGCCCAGACUCUGCAGGUCUCUAAGACCAAGCAGCUUAAAGAAGCUGUUUUAUCUGAAGAGAUUUUUGUUGCUAGGAAAGCUAUUGAAUCUUCUUCUGUUGAUAUAGGCCCUUUUUAUGGAUUACCUAGCAAAGUUAAAGAUUUAUUCAGACAACUUCGAGGGAUUGAAACACUUUAUGAGUGGCAGCAUGAUUGCUUAAUGUUAGAAUCUCUACAGCAAAGAAAGAACUUAAUAUACUCAUUGCCAACCAGUGGUGGAAAAACACUGGUAGCUGAAAUAAUGAUUCUCCAAGAACUACUCUGCAGGCAGAAGGAUGUUCUGAUGAUCCUGCCAUAUGUUGCCAUUGUCCAAGAAAAGAUUAGGGGUUUAUCGAGUUUUGGGAUAGAACUGGGUUUCCUGGUUGAAGAAUACGCAGGAAGUAAAGGAAGAUUUCCACCAAUCAAAAGGAGAGUAAAAAAAUCUCUUUAUAUUGCUACCAUAGAGAAAGGACACGCUCUGGUGAAUUCCUUAAUUGAAACAGAUAGGAUCAGUGACCUUGGUCUGGUUGUCGUAGAUGAGCUGCAUAUGCUUGGUGAGGGAAGUCGUGGAGCAAUACUGGAAAUUACUCUUGCGAAAAUCCUUUACACCAGUAAAAACACACAAAUCAUUGGAAUGAGUGCAACGUUAAAUAAUGUUGGAGACCUGCAGAAGUUCCUGCAAGCAGAAUACUACACCAAUAAUUUUAGACCGGUAGAAUUAAAGGAGUAUGUGAAGAUACGAGACACCAUUUAUGCAGUUGACAGCAAAACAGAAAAUGGCUUUACGUUUUCACGUCUCCUUAAUUUCAAGUAUUCUAGUUGUCUGGAGAAAGCGGAUCCUGACCACAUCAUUGCACUGGUUACUGAAGUUAUUCCUAAUUAUUCCUGCCUAAUCUUUUGUCCCACCAAAAAGAAUUGUGAAAAUGUGGCUUCAAUGGUGUGCAAGUACCUCAAGAAAGAAUUUAGAGCUCACAGGGAGAAGGAAAAACAAGAUCUCGUCGAGAACCUAAAGAAUAUUGGAAAUGGAAGUGUCUGUCCUGUUCUGAAGCAAACAAUCCCUUUUGGUAUUGCCUAUCACCAUAGUGGCCUUACAAAUGAUGAAAGAAAAAGCAUAGAGGAAGCAUAUUCUUCAGGUGUCCUGUGUCUACUUGCUUGCACAGCUACUCUGGCUGCUGGAGUCAACUUGCCAGCUAGAAGGGUUAUUCUCAGAGCUCCUUAUGUUGCUAAUGACUUCCUGAAGAAGAACCAGUAUAAACAAAUGAUUGGCAGAGCUGGUCGAGCUGGUAUUGACGAUGCUGGAGAAAGUAUUCUCAUAGUGCAAGAAAAAGACAAACACUUGGUUCGGGAUUUAGUUAAUAGUCCUUUGGAGAAUUGUUACAGCAAUCUUCUGCUGGAGUUGACCAAGGGAAUGCAGAGCCUGUUGUUGUCUUUGGUUGGACUGAAGAUAGCAGUUACCUGUGAGGAGAUCAACAAUUUUAUGUGCGGUACAUUGCUGGGUGUUCAGCAGCAGCUGCUGUCUAAAGAGAAGAGCCUCUCAGAGGUAAUUAAAGAUGGACUAGAAAAUCUAAUAGAAAAAGGACUCCUAAAAGGAAGAAUAUCUGAGAAGGACCACAAUUCCAAAUGUACACUAACAAUCACACCGUUGGGAAAAGCUACAUAUAAAGGAUCUAUAGACUUGGCAUACUGCAAUCUUCUGUACAGGGACUUGAAGAAAGGUUUGGAGGGGCUAAUUCUUGAGAGCAAUCUUCAUCUCCUAUAUCUGGCAACUCCUUAUGAUGUGACUUCUAGCUGUAGCCCAGACUGGAUGAUAUACUUGAGACAGUUCAACCAGCUAAGUGCAGCAGAGCAAAAAGUAGCAGAUAUUGUGGGAGUGCCUGAAAGCUUUAUUACAAAAAAGGCUUCUGGUCAAGCCAUCAGAAAGAAUGUGGACAGUGCUGUGGUAAACAGGCUCUACCUGACGUUUGUCCUUUAUACUCUGGUGAAAGAGACCAAUAUAUGGAACGUUUCAGAGAAAUUUAAUAUGUCCCGAGGAUAUGUGCAAAAUCUCCUUAAUUCUGCUGCCUCGUUCGCCUCCUGUCUUCUACACUUCUGUGAGGUAGUGUGUUAAAUGAAUGGAAAUAAAUCCACUGUGGUUGGUUUUGCAAAAUCUGGAGUUUUGUUCUCUUACUUUAGAACUGAACUCGGGUGUUGUAUUUCACCUUUCCCGUGCAAAACUGUCUUUUCACCUUUCCUGUUCAAAAUUAUUUUUCCUGUUGAGAAAAGCAGCCUUGUAAAGUCAUAUUUCUGAUACUAGAAGUAAGCUUUAUGCACUGAGAAUGUGAAAAUGCGCAAACUGUAUGGGGCAGUGAUCAGUGUUGUUGGUGAAAUAUUUGGCAGUUUUACCUUUCUCUUGGAAAUAAGGUCAUCUGGUUGUGGAAUGUCAGCUCGGGAAAAGAGUUGUCUUGUUCUCUUGGGUUUCUUUCCUCUAUUGAAAUAAUGCAUUGCUUGUCCUUCAGAACUGCCCCAACCUUGGGAUGUUCAGCUGGAGUGCUGAACACAACUCUGCAACUGGCUAAAAGUAUAAUUAGAAAUAACAGUGCUUCCCCUGUCCAAAAGCCAAAUAUACACUUGUUGCCGUAGCAGAGCUUUUAUCAGUACUGUCCCCCAAAUACAGAAUUAAAGAUC